GACGAACGCUGGCGGCGUGCUUAACACAUGCAAGUCGAACGGAAAGGCCCUGCUUUUGUGGGGUGCUCGAGUGGCGAACGGGUGAGUAACACGUGAGUAACCUGCCCUUGACUUUGGGAUAACUUCAGGAAACUGGGGCUAAUACCGGAUAGGAGCUCCUGCUGCAUGGUGGGGGUUGGAAAGUUUCGGCGGUUGGGGAUGGACUCGCGGCUUAUCAGCUUGUUGGUGGGGUAGUGGCUUACCAAGGCUUUGACGGGUAGCCGGCAUGAGAGGGUGACCGGCCACAUUGGGACUGAGAUACGGCCCAGACUCCUACGGGAGGCAGCAGUGGGGAAUAUUGCACAAUGGGCGGAAGCGUGAUGCAGCAACGCCGCGUGCGGGAUGACGGCUUUCGGGUUGUAAACCGCUUUCGCAUGUGACGAAGCGUGAGUGACGGUAAUGGGUAAAGAAGCACCGGCUAACUACGUG
rnacentral:rRNA from 1 species